rnacentral:lncRNA from 1 species
AGGACAAAGGCGACAGCUGGUAAGAGCUGAUCACAAUGAGCCAGCGGAUCCGCACCAACGCACGUCACAGGGGCCCCUUCAAGAGGAAGCUAGGAUCCCGGUCGCCUAGUGUGAUUUAACGUCUCUUUUGAGGUCUCUUUUCACCACGGGCUUCCAAAUGCUACCGCAAAUGCACCAACCUUGAGCCUUUCUGGUCUAUUCCAGUGCCGUAGCCCGAUUUCGUCCCUCCCUUCAGGCUCCCAAGGAGAACAAACAGGAGGGAGCAUCGCUGACGGAAAGGCUGAAGGAGGCCCAGGCUAGUAUCAAGAUUCACAUCAAACACAUAGACUUCUGUAUGUCAAUCACACUCCUAUUUCCAAAGGAAGGAGGGGGAGGGGAGGGAGACCAAGAGGGGGGAGGAAGGGAGGACCACAGUAAAGGGAGGA